AUUGAACGCUGGCGGCAGGCUUAACACAUGCAAGUCGAGCGGAGAGAGGUAGCUUGCUACUGAUCUUAGCGGCGGACGGGUGAGUAAUGCUUAGGAAUCUGCCUAUUAGUGGGGGACAACAUUUCGAAAGGAAUGCUAAUACCGCAUACGUCCUACGGGAGAAAGCAGGGGAUCUUCGGACCUUGCGCUAAUAGAUGAGCCUAAGUCGGAUUAGCUAGUUGGUGGGGUAAAGGCCUACCAAGGCGACGAUCUGUAGCGGGUCUGAGAGGAUGAUCCGCCACACUGGGACUGAGACACGGCCCAGACUCCUACGGGAGGCAGCAGUGGGGAAUAUUGGACAAUGGGCGCAAGCCUGAUCCAGCCAUGCCGCGUGUGUGAAGAAGGCCUUAUGGUUGUAAAGCACUUUAAGCGAGGAGGAGGCUACUUUAGUUAAUACCUAGAGAUAGUGGACGUUACUCGCAGAAUAAGCACCGGCUAACUCUGUGCCAGCAGCCGCGGUAAUACAGAGGGUGCAAGCGUUAAUCGGAUUUACUGGGCGUAAAGCGCGCGUAGGCGGCUAAUUAAGUCAAAUGUGAAAUCCCCGUAGCUUAACUUGGGAAUUGCAUUCGAUACUGGUUAGCUAGAGUGUGGGAGAGGAUGGUAGAAUUCCAGGUGUAGCGGUGAAAUGCGUAGAGAUCUGGAGGAAUACCGAUGGGCGAAGGCAGCCAUCUGGCCUAACACUGACGCUGAGGUGCGAAAGCAUGGGGAGCAAACAGGAUUAGAUACCCUGGUAGUCCAUGCCGUAAACGAUGUCUACUAGCCGUUGGGGCCUUUGAGGCUUUAGUGGCGCAGCUAACGCGAUAAGUAGACCGCCUGGGGAGUACGGUCGCAAGACUAAAACUCAAAUGAAUUGACGGGGGCCCGCACAAGCGGUGGAGCAUGUGGUUUAAUUCGAUGCAACGCGAAGAACCUUACCUGGCCUUGACAUAGUAAGAACUUUCCAGAGAUGGAUGGGUGCCUUCGGGAACUUACAUACAGGUGCUGCAUGGCUGUCGUCAGCUCGUGUCGUGAGAUGUUGGGUUAAGUCCCGCAACGAGCGCAACCCUUUUCCUUAUUUGCCAGCGAGUAAUGUCGGGAACUUUAAGGAUACUGCCAGUGACAAACUGGAGGAAGGCGGGGACGACGUCAAGUCAUCAUGGCCCUUACGGCCAGGGCUACACACGUGCUACAAUGGUCGGUACAAAGGGUUGCUACCUAGCGAUAGGAUGCUAAUCUCAAAAAGCCGAUCGUAGUCCGGAUUGGAGUCUGCAACUCGACUCCAUGAAGUCGGAAUCGCUAGUAAUCGCGGAUCAGAAUGCCGCGGUGAAUACGUUCCCGGGCCUUGUACACACCGCCCGUCACACCAUGGGAGUUUGUUGCACCAGAAGUAGCUAGCCUAACUGCAAAGAGGGCGGUUACCACGGUGUGGCCGAUGACUGGGGUG
rnacentral:rRNA from 2 species